rnacentral:rRNA from 1 species
GACGAACGCUGGCGGCGUGCCUAAUACAUGCAAGUGGAACUCUUAAGAGAGUAACUUGCUCGUCUUGUAUGAGUGGCGAACGGGUUAGUAACUCGGAGUGAACCUGCCUGCUAGCGGGGGAUAACUUUUGGAAACGAUAGCUAAUACCACAUCACAAUGGAGGACACAGAUCCUUUAUUUUAAAGGGGCAAUUGCUCCACUACAGGAUGGACCUGCGUUGUAUUAUCUAGUAGGUGAGGUAAUGGCUCACCUAGGCGACGAUACAUAGCCGACCCGAGAGGGUGAUCGGCCACACUGGGAUUGCGACACGGCCGAGAAUGAUACGGGAGGCAGCAGUAGGGAAUCUCCGGCAAUGGGGGCAAGCCUGAACGAGCAAAGCCGCGUGAGUGCAGAAGGUUUUCGGAUCGUAAAGAUCUGUUGUAAGUAAAGAACGGCUGUGAGAGUGGAAAGUUCACAGUGUGACGGUAGCUUACCAGAAAGGGACGGCUAACUACGUG